rnacentral:rRNA from 1 species
AGCAUAUCAAUAAGCGGAGGAAAAGAAACUAACAAGGAUUCCCCUAGUAACUGCGAGUGAACCGGGAAAAGCUCAAAUUUUGAAUCUGGCGGUCCUCGAGGCCGUCCGAAUUGUAAUCUAGAGAAGCGUUUUCCGCGCUGGACCGUGUAUAAGUUUCCUGGAAUGGAACGUCGUAGAGGGUGAGAAUCCCGUCUUUGACACGGACUACCAGGGCUAUGUGAUGCGCUCUCGACGAGUCGAGUUGUUUGGGAAUGCAGCUCAAAUUGGGUGGUAAAUUCCAUCUAAAGCUAAAUACAGGCGAGAGACCGAUAGCGAACAAGUACCGUGAGGGAAAGAUGAAAAGAACUUUGGAAAGAGAGUUAAACAGUACGUGAAAUUGCUGAAAGGGAAACGCUUGAUGUCAGUCGCGUUGGCCGGGGAUCAACCUUGCUUAAUCGCUGGGGGUACUUCCUGGUGGACGGGUCAGCAUCAGUUUUGAUCGUCGGAAAAUGGCWUGAGGAAUGUGGCACUCUUUCGGGAGUGUGUUAUAGACUCUUGUCGAAUACGAUGGUUGGGAUUGAGGAACUCAGCACGACCUUAGGGUUCGGGACUUUGGUCCACGUUUGCGUGCUUAGGAUGCUGGCAUAAUGGCCUUAAGCGACCCGUCUUGAAACACGGACCAAGGAGUCUAACGUGCAUGCGA